CAUCAGCAGCAAUUCAGAUUUGCCCAUCAUUUGGGGAAAAUCGUCGUAAUACAGGGGACAAAGUAACAAGCUCAUGUGAUUGUAAACCACGUACAUGAGAUUGUUGCGCUUUAUUCACAGGGGACAAAGUAACAAGCUCAUGUGAUUGUAAACCACGUACAUGAGAUUGUUGCGCUUUAUUCACAUGGUUCCCUGAUCCGCUACAAGGAUAAGCAUUGGUUGCGUGUUGCCUGACUUCAUUCAGUAAGCAUGAAGUUUUGGUAGCUGAAAACAUACAAACCGCACAAACAAACUGGUGGUUUCAGACGAGAAACGAGAGGCCUAAGGCGUCAUGUCCCAUCUAUCCGAUCAGCUAAUCUAACCUCGACAGAAGAAUCAUUCAGUCCAUCAGUUUCUUUAAGCAGCUGCAGUUUCCUUGUCGCCAUCGCUAGCUUGCACCGUCGCAGUUCCUCCAUCACCGUCCCAAGGUUAU
rnacentral:lncRNA from 1 species